CAGUAAAAGUGUAUGGCAAAAAUUAUUCACUGAAACAGAAAUGAAAAAACACUCUUUAUGCACUUAUAAAAAAUUAAAAAUUCCUCCCAGUAAGCUCCUAAGUAAUUCAGAUGGCCAAGUAAUUUUGUGCAUCUGUCAAAUGGUCCUGAACAGCACAGGGAGGGAAACAGGUAAGCCCAAGUCAAAUGUAUUUAUCCCCUUUUCUCAGAGAUUAGAGAUAAGACAAAUAGUUCAUUGGGAUUAACAUUUUAUUAACUAUACAAUUUGAUAAACAAUUCAAUUUCCUCUAUAGUUUUUAUGUUGCAGUGUUGCUGCUUCUAUUAAAAACAAACAAACCAACCAAAAGAAAAGCCCUGUCCUAGCCCUGCUUGCUGUUUUGGUAGCAAGUGAAGCAAAUACAUCUCCAUUUGUGGUUUAUUCCUAAGCCAUCUUCUCCCUCCCAAAAAACAAGACAGGCUCAUUAACACAGGCAAGAAGACUCAGGAAAACAACUUUUCAUUGUGUCUCAGGUGUUUAAUUGCCAAAAAUACUUGAAAGUCAGUUUGACAAGAAAGUGAAAUUGGUCUCUGAUGGGAAAAGUAGGUCUUUUAUAGCCAGGAAAUUGGGACUUCAACAAUUUUCUGGUUCUGUCUUGCAUUUUGAAGUGAAUGGAUGGAAUUUUCCUUCUGGGGAAAAUGUGGAAAAGGGAAAAAGGGACCUCUUGAAGGGUAACUAGAAUUUUGUUUUCCUUUUACCUAUACACCAGCUAAAUACUCUCUGUCUCCACUAGAAAUCAUUACAUGUCUUAAGUGAAUAUUAGUUUUAUAUCCACAAAACUAAUCAUUACAGACACCAGGCCACUGUGGUGCUACAGUUCACUCCAAUUUUUCAACCUCUCAUGCAUGGCAAGAUAAAAUUUAAUUCUUGCCUACCAAUCAGUCUCUUUAGCCAAGCAGAUUCUCUUCACCAUUUCAGAUUGCUGGGUAUCAGGUGCCUUAAAUUUUUCUGUUGCCACAUUAGCAGGGCAGAACGAUGCCUGCACUUUGAAUGAGGAGUCAGUAAAGAGGAGGAGCUGAAUUUGAGGUAGCUGAUGGCCAGGCAGAGCCUGUACAAGUGCUUUUACGUAUCAGCAUUAUCAUUUCUAUUCCAGCCACAGGCUUAGUGCCCAAGUAGGUCACCUCUGGGAUGGAUCUUGACUUUAAGGCACAGUAUAAAGGAGCAGAUUAAUCUAAGAGCCAUUUGUAUGACUGGAUGGAAAGGCUGCAUGUAUAUUAUUAAACCAGGAAGAGUUUCCUGGCUUCCAAGUCUAUGCAUCUCAUUUUCAUGUGGAUUUCAGGUUGGUGUGGAACAGAAGGGCACAGCAGCCUUUCUUCUCAUCCCUACUCCACAGCCUGGCCUCUGGACAGAGCAGAGGUGUGCUGAUGGAGCAGGCCCAUAGCACACACCAUCAGCACUCUGGGGUGUUUACAGGAACAGGGCUCUAGCAGGACAAACAACCUCAGAAAAACAGACUCUCUCCCAAAACAAGGCACAUGAACUCAUUAUAUUUCCACAGCCAGACUCUGUACAUCACUCUCGCUGGGUUUAACUGCACUUCAUUAACUGUUUCAUUAGCAGGAGUUGGUGUCUCUUAAAACUUUCACUUUGUCUGAGCACUCUGUGCAGCCUCGUCAUUUCUCCCUCAGUUCACAGCUUCUCUCUGCAAUAGCAUUUUUACAGAAUUCAAAAUUGUCUCCCAUCAACAUUUUGCACAGUUUUUUUUCUGUGAUGUUCCUUCUUAUUGAUAAUUUAGAGAUUUAUACACCCAAUAGCCACUGCCACCAGGUAGUCCCAUCAGUACUACCUGGCUGGGUUUGAGUUAGGCUAGCUUCAUGGGCAGUUUCUGUGGCUUUUGGGAGUUCUCCCUCCUAGAGGAGGAAUGAAGUCUGACUUGAAAGGUGGGAAUUGUUUCAGAGGAAGAGACUGGUUUCAGAGGUGCUAUUUGUCUAUAUUAUGUGGUGGUUAAUGUAAACCAAGGGUUAAAUUUCUCACUGUCCUAUCAUAUUUUAUGUGAACAAACCAACGCAGUGACAAGGGUGUCAGGCAAACAGAGGAAGUCAGCAUAUCCCACACCUUUUUCUGCUCCUGAAUUUCCAUUUCUUUCUUUUUUUCCCUAGCUCCUUUUCUGUUACUGUUUUGUUUAAAUUAUGUACUCUGCAAGGCAGGACAAGGAAUUUAAAAUUGUAAAAUAUUUGGCAUUUGAUCAAAAUGGAACAUAGCUGUAUCCUUAAGAACCAUAUCACAGAGAUUAAUGAGCUCAGUAACUGCAAGAGAAGCUGCAGUGGUUUUUUGAAGAACUGGAUCUCAUGUCUCAGGUCUCCCAAAGAGCAAAAAGGUUAAUUAAAUCCUGGCUCUUUGUUAUAACAUUAAAUCCUAAAAUAUUAUGUCUGUCUUCAGGUCUCUACUGGGACAACUCUUGGUGAAUUUCUUUCAAAUAUUUAAGCAGCAGGAAAAUGAAAGGAAAGCACUUUAAAUGUAUCCCUAAUUGCCUUAUGUUUUGAUGCAAUGUCCAUUACAGGGGAAAAUCCACAUUUGAAAAUGUUCCUGCUGAGUUUGAAAAUUAUGACAACCAUCCUGUUUUGGAGAGGCAGAGAGAGAAAAGAUAAACAGAAAGAAUGGUGUUGAAAGGAAACGAUCACCAGCCAGCAAAGGUUUGAUAGGAGGAAGUAAAAUUCUUAUGCCAGGUUUCAGUCAGGAUGAAGACAAAACCAGCAGUGUCUACAGAACAGUUUGAUUUCCCUUCUCCAGUGUUACCUGACUGUAAGAUAACCAGGGCCCAGGGGUAUCAUGGUAGAUCCUAGGAUCACAGGAUUUGCUAGUAAUAGCAGUCAUGAAUUUCUUGUAGCUUCUCAUUCAUAUAAAAUCCAAGUAAAGAUUUGCCACGAAAAAUUUUAUCUUUAUACUCUCAAUAUCUGACCAGACUCUAACAUUUCUGCUGGAUGUAGUGGGUUGAGCCUGGACAGCAGCCACCCAAACACUCACUCUCCCAUGCCCAGCGGGACUAGGGAAGAAAAGAAGAACAGGAAUGGGAAAGCACGUGGUUUGAGAUAAAAACAGUUUAUUAGGUGAAGGAAAGAGACAGAAAUGAAGCAAAGGAAAUCACUCACCACCUCCCACACGCAGAGCAGCCAUUCUCCAAGCAGGAGCCACAUUAGAAGCCAGAAGUUUCCCUUUCUCUGUUGCAGUUUUUACUGAUGACUGUGGCCCUGUAUUGUAUGUAAGGAAAAGCCCUUUGACCAGUUGGGGUCAGCUGGCCCAGUAAAGUCCCCUCACAAUGUCUUGCCUAUCAUAACCUACUUGCUGGAGGAGAAGAGUGUCCAGGUCUGCUUAUUUUUACAAUAAUCUCAUUUAACAGAUCAUGUUUGCUUCCCUGUGAUGACUUAGUGUAGGAUUAUACCAGAGAUAUUCAUGAAAUAAUAUCCAGACUUUGACAUAUUGUCACCACUACUUAAAACUGAGCCUGUAGAUGGACAGUCCUGGGUGGAGUGGUAGAAGAGAGCUUAUAGGUGUGCUUCUUUACCAAAGUUUUAAGUUCUGUCUGACCUGAAAAUGAUUACAGAAACUUUAUGGGGAAGAUGAAUAUUUGAAUGUUCAACAGUAGCAAGGUUUGGAAUGAAAAACUGAAGGAAUUUCUAGAGAAAGCCUCUCUUUUCAGGUUGAGCUUUAACUUUCACCUCUGGGGAAACUUCAAACAAAUUUUUCCAGUGGGGUUAAAGGAUAAAUCUUUGCUUGUAGGGAUUUCUUACAUUUUCCUUUGACAGUUUUGGUAAUUAAUGUUUAGGGAGAAAUGGAUAUGGAAGUCCAUGGGUUUCCACUGAGAUGACCAUCACUCUAUACAGUGUUUGGGAUUAAAAAUAAAUCAACAUAGUAACUGUAACUAAGUUUUACAAAAUUAGUGAUGGAAACUUUACUUCCCCAAAGGAAGAAUUAUUCAAGGAGUCAAGAGAGAAGCAAAUGCAUAAUUUUGUGUUUUUACUUUGACUUGUGGCAGCAGUCAGAAAACUAUCACCAAAAAGCACAGAAAGUUUAACUGAGGGAAUUCUGUUUUUAAUUAACUAAUUUCAUGAAAUCACAGCCACCUGCAGAAACAGGAAAAAAUGACAAGAUUUUUAUAUUUGGGAAAAUAAUUUUAUAAGAUUGUAAAUUCUUUUUUUAAAAAUGAGUACUUCAAAAGCCACCUUUUUGAAUUAAUAUGUCAGCCACAAAUCAUUAGUGAUACAAAAUAACCAGAAUUCUAGCUUUUUAUUUCAUAUUGUUGGGAAUUAGUCUUUGACAGAAAUGUAUUUAAUAGCAAUAAAACCAGCAUGGGGAACCUAUUUCAGUAGAAGCACUAUUCAAGAGUAUUUUCAUUCCAUCCGUAGAUUUCUGCAGCAGAAUCUGCUGUGUAUUGUGAGCUGUUGCAAAUUACCAGAGUUAGGAAAAUAUGGGAAUGCAGAGGAAGAGCUGCUGUGUGUCCCUGUUCUGAAACCUCUAAAUGACCACAGACAAACCAGAGGGAAAAACCAUUUCAAAAUUGAAAUGUGCAAUCAAAGCCCUUCAAGAACGGUCAGGAAAAGUGAAGAGCCUUUAAAAGGGGAGAGAAAAAGAGAGAAAUCAUAGAAAUGCUGAAAAUAUUUAAGAAAGGAGUCUACAGAAAUGCUGGCCAGCAAGCCAGGGCAGAGCAGCUGGAGCAAGGAGGAGGAAGAGAUGCUGGCCUGGAAGGGAGAAUCAGUCCCUUACUAUUUGUCCAGCAUAAUCUUCACAACCCUUUCAACACCAGUCUGUGCCUUCUGGGACUCUAAGAAACCUCCUUUCCUGGCAAUGCCUCUCUUCCAGCACACCUUGAGACAGACUUUCCUCCUCCAACAAACAGUUUGCUUUGAAUAAUUCUUAAAAUCCUACUCAUCCAGGGAGGAUGCCACAAAAAGGCAGUGCAUUUGAGUUAUCAGAGCAGCUCUACCUUGCAGGCAUGAGAAAGGCAUUUGGACUCAGAUCAAGUGCUGAGUGUGUUACAAACACACCAACUCACCUUAGUAAAGAGGAACAAGUUCAAAGUGUGAAAUUUUGAGUAGGAAAGUAUAAACAUCAUUACCAGGAUGUUAAUCUUACAUGUCUAAUGGUGUCAGCAACUGCUCUUGCUCCCCCUGUAGCACAUGAACCACAUAAAAGAAAGAGGAAAAAGCAGACAUGACAGCCCUUACUCCAAGCUAAUUCUGAAGACCAGAGGAAUUCAAUCUGCAGCUGAGCUACCACUGUCCUUGCCUGCUUUUCUUCUCCCCCAACAUGUCAUUUAGAUCCAUUUCCCAAGCCACUCAAACAUGUUUAGUAACUAACUAGAAAUAGUGCAGUGAUCUCAGAGCCUUUCACAGCCCCCUGAAAUCCAAACAACUUUUCAACCAGUAUGGGCAGAAACAAGGUCAGGUGCCAGCAGGCAGAGAAGGCCCUCAAGCCCCAGGAGUUCCUGCAGCUCUGGACUAUUUUCAGGCUAGAUCCGAGCUGCAAAACAGAAACAUUUCAUCUGCCAGCAGGGAGGCACAGGGCUAAUUAGCAGGUCUUGAACAGCAAGAGUCAAACUGAGAGCAUCCAGCACUCUCCCUGGUUUUUAGAGAAAUGGAUGCUAUUUCUCUGUAUCACCUGCCUCUGCUCCCUGAGCACCCAUCUUUUCCCUGAAAUCCAGCCCUGCUGAGCAUGGAGCUGUGGUAGCUGUCAUGAGAACAUCAGCUCAAACUGUGUGAAAAUGGAAAUCAAUUCUCCUCACUCAUGAGAGAGGUUUGUGUCAGGAGUUUCAUUCUCAUUUAUGCCACGAGUAUGGGUGGCAGAGAGCCCAAGAUAGAGUCCCAGGGCAGUCACAUACCAACAUAAUUCUGAACUUCCUCUUGAGACUGGAGACCUUAGAAGAAAAGGGUUGUUUGUCUGGAAAGUUACCCUAUCUGAGAGGAGUUAGAUGCACAGGAAGAUAAACAUUUGAACACUGGCUGUUCUUUGGGAAAGGGGGAGGUAAAGGGACACCCCCAUGGGAUGUUUCCAUGCACAACUCACCUGCAGGGGCUUUGGUACCACCACUAGCAAGGUGAUUUCAUCACCAGACACAGGAAACCUGUCCUGGUCUGCCAUGAGGGCCUGGAGGGAGCAUGGUGUAUUUAACCUGUGCACAGCCAGAGAGCUCCCUGCUCCCAGCUCACAAGAUAAUUCACUGUUCAUUUAUCAGCUGUACUCUGCAGUCUGCACCUGGACUCUCUCAGCUGGGGACUGAAAACCCUUUCCUCCACAAUAUCUUAAUUUCUAUUAAUUUCUGCUUACUACACGAUUAGGAAUGUAAAUGUGUGGUCACUUUAAAAAACACAUUACAGUAAACAUUAUUAAAAUACACCUUUAGUAAUUAUGCUUUUGUACAAACAUAUCAUAGUAGUUCUGGAUUGUUACUUCAUUUAUCAUCCUUCUUAGGAGUAGCUUCUGAAGAGUACUGAAGUUGGUAAGAAUGAGACCAUAAAAUUUCUAAUUCAAUUUUCUAGACAGUAAGAAUCUAUUCUAAAGAUUGUCUAAGGAUGAUUGUUUAAUCUCUGCCCCUCACACCAGCCUGAGGAAGAGCUCACACAUGUCCAAGGGAUAAUGUAAAACUGGUGGGAAUAAGGAAGGAGGAAAUCUUAAGAGUGAAUUACACCAAUAUUAAAUACUCUUCUCUACAUUCAUCAAGGGAAAGCUCAAUUCCAAAUUAGAAUGUAAAAUUAUUAGAUGUUAAAUUAAAAUGCAUUAUUAAUUAGAAAUUAGAUUCCCUUGCAAGCUUAUCUUGGGCAGGUCCUCCCUGGGUGGCAAAAUUGAAGUACUACAAGAAUAAUGAAGUCUGAAGAAGAGGCCCAGAAAGCCAUCCAUAAUAAGCACAGAAGUUAAUAUUCUGAUGAGAAUCCUCCCCUUCAGAAUACUUCUUUUUAUUUUUGUAUCCUGCCAUAACAGCAGGACCCUCUCAGAGAGUUAAAUUGACAGGGUGUGUGUGAUUUCAUGGACAAGGAAGACAGUUAAACAACCAGAGACUCAACAGUAGUGUAGGUUUUGAGAUCAUAAAGACAUUCAGGCCACAAAGGAUAUUUCCACUACAGGUUUCUAUUCCAGGCUUUGAUCCUAUUAGACCCUGGUACUCUUGGGAAUAAAGCUACUGAGACAGCUGUAAAACAAAAUACAUCAUUGAUGGGAGAGAAAGGACAAUGAAAUCUCUUAUCAAUUCUUGCUCUGAUCCCCAAAUAAUACAGCAGCAAAUAUUUCAAAGAGAUGAUGCUGCUCAGAUCCAGGUCCUGUAGCAGCACUGCAAACAAACCUUCACUGCUCUUAACACCUUGUUAGUCCUUUUCAGCUGUGCCUGAACACACAAAGGUAGAGAGCCUCAGCUUGAGCACCCGAACUGAAGCAGAGUAAAACCAAGCUUGAACCCUCCUCAGUGAGCUGUUGAGAAGUGAGGUUUCCUCUUGCAAGUGGAACAACAGAAUUCUGAUAUUUCAUUUUUGUAAAGGUGCUAUAUAGUUACGAUGUUUUGUUUUGUAUCUUGAGUGAGUACUGUUUAGUCACAGGUUGCACGCCAAGUACAAGGCCCUUGACCCUUCUGAUGGGUGGAAUAGCAAAUCUCCUUGUUUGGGGGACACAGAAGGGAAAAUCUGUGUGUACUGAUUGUUUGGGUGACACUUCUGAACCUGUGCUGAAAUCUCUGAGAAGCCCAAGGACAUUAAACCCUGACUCCCAUCAGACUGAAAAGGAAGUCAUGUGCCUAAUCCUAUUAGUGCCUGUAAAAUUCCCAGACCUAACAUUAGCCCCAGAGGUUACUCUACUGAGAUCCCUUUGAGAGUUAAGCAAAACCCCCCAUAUUGCUUCCCUGUAAUUUGUUCUCCCUAACCACGUUAUCGCUUUGGAGUUAACAGCAAUAAUUUAUGUUCCAUUAUGUGCAGUACUUAAUUUAGAUAGGCCAGCUGCCUUCCUGCAUGGCUGCCAGCAAAAGAGUGCACACUCUCAGGAAAUAACAAAUUUGCAGGUUUCCCUUGCCUGCCUUUCUAAUCUUACUGGAGUUCUGGGCCAGGGGUGCUGGGGGGAUGUAGUCUCUUUGUUCCCAUCUAGCAGGGGAACUAACUCUGGUGUGAGCAAGCUUCCCUCCCCAAAAAUACAGAGUUCCUGUCUGCAGCACAGGGUUGUGUCUUGUGUCUUCACAGCUGAAGAAUAUUCAAAAGUUUUUUCAUAAAAGCAUUUAACAGUUCAAGGUCUUUUCCAUCCUUAAAUUAAUCAGAAAAGAAAUAUGGGAUUUGCCAUGUAAACUCUUUUACUGUAUUCAGUUAGAAUCUUGCUCUGAACCUACCUGCUGACAGAGAGGAAGCAGGGCAUCCUUCUGGCAGAUUAUGCCAUUAUAAUUCCAAUAAAUGCUCUGUACUGAAAACGUUCAAAUUUUUAAAUAACAGAACAGAAAUAUUUUUUUUUAAAAAUCAGAAUUUUGCCAUAAAACGUUGCAAAUUAUGGAAAUUACAUGAUUAUGUUCUAGGUGAAACAUGAGAAGAAAAAAAGCAAAACAGAAAGAGUUUUGCCUGCCCAUCCAGCAUAAAUUAUGUUUUCCCUAUACUUCAGUUUUGUGCAAUUGCUUAAAGUAAAGCCUUUCACAGCUGGGAGAAAGAAAUGCCUGAAAGAAGUCAGCCUUGUUUGGUCAAACACAACACUUGCAGCAGUUGUGUGAAGAGAGGAGUAACAUCAGAGAGAAGGAUUUUCUCCUAGGGAGCUUCAGGGGAUUGGUUCAGCUCUGUGGCAGAGUGGACCCUACUUUUAUCGCCUACAAAGCAGCUUUGCUGCACAAAGGGCAGCAGUCUUCAACCUUUGACAAGGAGCUCUGACCUGAUAGGAAGCAAACAAGAAUUAGCAUUUUCCUGAAAAUAUUUCAUUGCAGCAAAGGUAGGAGGAGAUUUGUAUGUGUUCCUAAACGAAUUAGUUUCUUUCUUCUACUGAUCUUCCUUAUAAAUGGAGCAACCACUAGCACUGAACUACUUGUAACUUCAUUAAAGUGAAAAAAAAGAGAUGUCACAACUAGGCGAGUGCUGAAUUUGGCUUUUGCACAUGUUGCCUGACAUCAGCAAGAUGAAAAACAAAGGCAGUUCAUUUUCACACCGCAAGUCACAACAAAGUAAAAGAACCUGUCCUCAGAGUGAGCUCUCUGUAUCCCAUCAGUCACAUGCCAUGUCUGCACAGAGGCAGUGACCACAGGUGGCACAGGGACACCUGCUUUUGGCACUCUGCUCUCUAGCAAUUGCUUCAGGAAGGAAAUGUGCUUUGUCUUUCCAGUGGAGAGCAGAAAUGCCUACUCCAGCCCUGUCAGCUCAGGUGUCACAACUACAGCUCCAGCCCCAGCAGCCUCAUGAUAGCAGCACUGUCCCUUUGGCAGAAACCUUAAUCACAGCAGGACAUGGUGAUGUUGGCAGUAUAGGGGACUUCCAUAUGUGCACGGAUGUCAUGUAAUGUGUUGGUAUCAUAUGUUAUUUUUGUAACCCCUAGCAGUAGAGAAGGCUCAGUAGAGAUUAGUGGUGGUGAGUGUGUGGGGGAUGAAUAAUGGAAUCAUAGAAUUUUAAGAGGUUGGAAUGGACCUUAAAGAUCAUCCAGUUCUGAUGAUGAGGCUCCCACUAGACCAGGUUGUUCAAGCCUUAUCCAAACUUGCCUGGAACACUGCCAGGGCUGGGGCAUCCACAACAUUCCUGGACAACCUGUGCCAGGUCCUCACCACCCUCACAGUAAAGAAUUUCUUUCUAUUGCUGACCUCAAUUUCUCCCCUUUCUGUUUGUACCCAUUUCCCCCUGUCCUGUCACUGCAAUUCCAGACAAAGAGUCCUUCUACAGCUUCCCUGUAGCCCCUUCAGACUCUGCAAGGUGCUCUGAGGUCUCCACACAACCUUCUCUUCUUCUGGCUGAACAGCCACAGCUUUCCCAGCCUGUCUUCAAAGGCGAGGUGCUCCCGUCCUCUUAGCAACGUUGUGCCUCCUCUGGACUUGUUCCAACCAUUCUACAUCUUUUGUUUGGGACAUGAGAACUGGACACAGCACUGCAGGUGGGGUCUCACCAGAGCAGAGUAGAGGUGGAGAAUCUCCUCCUUGGACCUGCUGCCCAUGUUCCUUUUGAUGUAAGCCAGGACAAGGUUGGUUUCUGGGCUGUGAGUGCUCACUGCCAGUUCAUGUUGAGUUUUUCCUCAGCUAUCAACCCAGGUCUUUCUCUGCAGGGCUGUUUUCAAUCCCUUCCCCACCCAACCUGUAGGUGUGUCUGGGAUUGUCCCAACGCAGGUGCAGGACCUUGUACUUCACUUUGUCGAACUUCAUAAAGUUCCCACCAGCCCCACCUCUCUGGCCUGCCAAGGUCCCUUGCUGUGGGGUGUGGCACACCACAGCUGCGGCACUGCAAACUGACUUCAGCUCUGCACAACAGGGACCAGGGGUGGCCUUUGGUUCAGAUCAACAGCUGCCAAGAAAGAGCUGGAUCAACUGGUGGUCUGAAUACUUCCCCCAGUCACACGAGGAGAGGGGGAAUUAAACAUUAUCCCUUUCAUAUGUGGGAUGGUUAAAAGAACAUGGGCAGAGAGCACUGGACUCUGACAUAUAAAUAAAUAUAGGAUGUGAUGAAAUCCAGAAGAUUAUUUUGUUAACCCACACCACAGCUUCUAACAUUUAUCUACCUACAAAAUCCUGUUACACAAAGUUUUGUUUCACAGAGGCACUCUGUCAAGCUUGUCAGGAAUGGAUUCCAGUUUUAGAAGCAUGUAGAAAGUGCAUCGUGUUCCUCGCCCCAAAAACCCUCUGUCCAACAUAGCACUCAGUAGGGUGGCACAUCUGAACUAUGAACUUGCUCCCAGGCAGCAGCUGAUUGUAUCUGGUUUUGAGAACACAGCAUUGCUUUUAUGGAAUUCCAGGCCGUUUUCCCAAAUACAUUAACGCAGUGUUGGAAGAAAAAGAGUGGAAUUAGUGAGAUGGAAGUACAUACAGAAAAUGCCACCACCAUAAGCAGCCUCCAAUGGUGUUUGCAACUUAAAGAGAGGGUGUGUAAGAAGCUCCCACAGCCUGAAGGUCACUGUCAUGUGGACUGCUUAGCACAGAAACAAACCACCUAACAACAUUCCCUGUGCCUUCAUCCAUGGAGCAAACGUUCCCUUUCUACAGCUCCCUUACACAGUGCUGGCUGUCAAACACUGCAGUGCCACACUGCCCCACUGACCUCCCCUUGCCCAUAACCCCCACUGCUGGCUGCUUCUUACAGGUGUGGUUGUGAUGUCUGACACUGCUUCGUUCCAGAUCAAAAUCAUCAUCCUUAAAAAUGAAUUAUGGAUCCAGGGAGAUCCAAUAGAGGCACUGAGGUAAGAAAAGCUCUAUUCAUGAGAACUCACAAGGAAGAUAAAAAAGUUCCUGCCUGCAUACACUUAGAAUGGAAGCCCAUCCUCUCCACAAAAAAUAGGUCCUCCCACACAGACACAUGACACCAUUCAUCUGUCACUUUAAGGCAGCUCAGCCCAACCUAGACUGUUCAAAGGGGAACAGAUCAGGAAAGAGAAAACCUACAGGAGAAACCAAGAACCCAAUCCUUGCAGGGUAGCAAAAAGAUGACCCAGAAAUGUGAUAUUGUGACACAAAUGUCAUUUGCUAAAGGAUCACAUAGAUUACAGAAGAGCUGAUGGUCCAGGAGACAGAGACAGUGUACGAUGUUGGAGUACACCAGAGGAAGUGCUUUAUCUUCUAGUGAAAAAUAAAAACUUUUAAGAUGUCAGAUUUGAAAAAUUGGUUUAAUCUACAGCAUGUCUGCUACAGCCACCCUACCUUGCUGCAGUCUCAACUUAGCUUUGGGGUUACUUUGGAGGAUUCUUCAGGAAAGGAAGAUACCUCCUUCCUUAUUCUGAUCUUUUGGAGGAGCCAUGAAAAACUUUAUACAUUGCUGCUUUAAGUGCCUCAGUAGUGAACCAUCCCUCUACAGUUCUCAAGGACUGGCCUUGUGCAGGGAAUGCACAUUGGGUUAACCUCGUUUUUGCCUCCCAUCCCCACAAAAUGAUCCAUCCAGGUAAUUGCUGCAGACAUGUGGCACUCACAUGGGUCAGUUUGCAGGACUGAGACCAAAAAGCAUCAAUGGAAAUGAAACCAACCGAAGCAAAAAGAAAAUGGCCCUUAGUACAUGUUUAGUUACAAAGACCAGAGUGGUAAGUAGGAAAAGGAUGCAGAUCUCCCAGCUACAUUAUGGGCUGCUCAACAAACACUUGGAAAAAAGCCAGAUGCUGGGCAGUCACUAUUUCAUUCAAGCACAAUUAAACCCCCUGUAUUCCUUCGUGGUAUGUACAAAAUCACAUACAGUUAAAUAAACAACUGAAAGACUGAAUGAGAUUCUAAUAUACAGUACUUUCACACAGCCAAAGCUAUUUUAUUUUACAAGACGAGGCUUUUGCGUUCAUCUUUUUCUGAAAGCCCAGUAAAAACAGCAUAAACUACUUAAGCAAAAUUUAAGAGACAACUUACAAAGUAAAAUUUGCAUAGCACUGUAAAUCUGCGUGUUUGUUUGGGCACAGUUCUCUGUAAAAACUACAGUAGGUGACAGGGUCAGGUUUUCUUAAUAGCUUCUUGUUUUUCACCAGAUUCAGACAUACUUCUGAACAUCAUAAAAUCAAGUGUAGGAAACAAUUAUAAAAAUGUACAAAAAUAUAUACACAUGCACAGUAAAUGCAUACCCUGUAUACAGUUUUAUUACUCGUUAUUUGGCUAAUAAUGAUCAUCUGGUGACUUACACUUCCCUCCAAAUGACAGGUUUGCAACACAUCAAUCAGCUCAAGGAGGGUGAUUUUCCUCGGAGAGAAGGUUUGGAUUAAAGCUACAGUACUUGCUGGUGAUCUGAGGAGUGAGCGAGGCGCCGGCCGGCAGCGGCCGCCGGGCGUUCAGACGAGUUCAGCAUUCAGAUGUCACAAGGGACAGCUCAGACACAGCUGAAGCGAAGGGACACGAAGGGACACAGCUUGGUUCUCUGCACAGAUGCACAUGCACGGAAUAAAGGAGAAAGGUCAGCAUGAUUCAGCAAAGCACAGCAGAAAAAUUCUGUACGGACAGCCAGGAGGGGAGGACAAGGAAUGAGCUGAGACCAGAGACAGCACCACACCAGCCCUAAUCCCAACCCUGCAACAGAGCCACUGCAUCCCAAGCUGAGCCUGCAGAGGUGCAAUCCUGGAACAGACCAUUCAAAGGAACAAG